rnacentral:pre_miRNA from 9 species
GCGGGGAGGUUGAACAUCCUGCAUAGUGCUGCCAGGAAAUCCCUAUUUUAUACUAAGAGGGGGCUGGCUGGUUGCAUAUGUAGGAUGUCCCAUCUCCCUGCCCACAUCAUCG